rnacentral:rRNA from 1 species
CAUGAACGCUGGCGGCGUGCUUAACACAUGCAAGUCGGGCGAGAAGAGUUCUUCGGAGCUUUUCUAGCGGCGGACGGGUGAGUAACACGUGGGCAACCUGCCUCAUAGAGGGGAAUAGCCUUCCGAAAGGAAGAUUAAUACCGCAUAAUGUUGUUGAAAGGCAUCUUUUAACAAUUAAAGGAGCAAUCCGCUAUGAGAUGGGCCUGCGGCGCAUUAGUUAGUUGGUGAGGUAACGGCUCACCAAGGCGACGAUGCGUAGCCGACCUGAGAGGGUGAUCGGCCACAUUGGAACUGAGAUACGGUCCAGACUCCUACGGGAGGCAGCAGUGGGGAAUAUUGCACAAUGGGGGAAACCCUGAUGCAGCAACGCCGCGUGAGUGAUGAAGGUCUUCGGAUUGUAAAGCUCUGUCUUUAGGGACGAUAAUGACGGUACCUAAGGAGGAAGCCACGGCUAACUACGUGCCAGCAGCCGCCGUAAAAC